GAAACCCCCAAAGUAUUUGCUUCCACUAAUAUGCAAGAUCUACACAUUAUGUAAAUUGUGUGUCAGUAGCAAUAUAGAAUCCCAAUAACAUAAUACCAUGCACAUCCAAAUUUAAACUAAUAAGAAGAUAAACAAAGUCAGCUUCUUGGUACUUGACGGUGGUAGAUAUUUUUUAACUCACUAAAGUGACUCAAUCAUGGUAGAAUCAAAACCAGCAAGAGGAAAUGACAGGGAAUUUGAUUGGGGCAAGGUGUGUUUAAGGAGACUGCCCAGAGAUAGCAAGCUUCCCAUCACAAGAGGUUAAGCAAAGGUUGGACAGACAACCAUUUGGCGAGGAUGUCAUACACCAGUGGUUCUCCAGCUUUCAAAAGUAUCAGAAUCACCCUGUGGACUUGUUAAAGCUGAGACGGCUGGCCCCAGAGCUUCUGAUUCGGAAGUCUGAAGUGGGGCUUACGAUUCCACAUUUCAUCCCAGCGCCCAGGCAGUGCUGAUGCUGGUGGUCCAGGACACACUCUGAGAACCACUGUGUCUAGUAGAGGGAAUUCAGAAUCAUGAAUCAAGCUGCUUCACUCCAGCCAAGGGAUGCAGGGCAGAGUCACAUUUCUUUUUACUGUCCUAUCAAACAGCUUGAGUCCAGUUUUUUCCCCAUGAGGCUGGACCUCUUUCCUGCCUGGGGGCUACUGCUGGUCAUAGUCCUAAAUCCUUCCCAUGUGUCUCUGUGCUAAUCUUGAACCUGGGACAAAGAAAGCCACCAUGAGGCUGAAGGACACCACCACUACUCCAGUCACUGGCUUUAAGAUAGGCUGUCAGAGACAGCUCACACCUGGGACUCUACACCCUCUGGCAUCGCUGCCAUGGGCGGUGGGAUGUGCUGUCGAUGGAGGUCAUGACAAAGCCCCAGUCCUCUUCCACCCCAAGUGCCUCAAGGAGGGAAAGCCAAAGAAUCUGCCAUUGCUGCCCGAGGAGC
rnacentral:lncRNA from 1 species